rnacentral:rRNA from 12 species
GAGACGGGAUGUUUACUUUGAAAAAAUCAGAGUGUUUCAAGCAGGCAGUCGCUCUUGCAUGGAUUAGCAUGGGAUAAUGAAAUAGGACUCUGGUGCUAUUUUGUUGGUUUCGAGCACCGGAGUAAUGAUUAACAGGGACAGUCAGGGGCACUCGUAUUCCGCCGAGAGAGGUGAAAUUCUCAGACCAGCGGAAGACGAACGACUGCGAAAGCAUUUGCCAGGGAUGUUUUCACUGAUCAAGAACGAAAGUUAGGGGAUCGAAGACGAUCAGAUACC